AUGAGUACGGAGGAGGAGGAGGAGGAAUUAUACGAUGGGGAAGAGUACAGUUAUGAAUAUGAGGAUUCCACAGAUGAUCCCUUACUGUCAAUGGAAAAGCAAGGGGAGUUUGAAAUCACAACAGAAAGCACACUACAUGGAAUGAGCAAAGAGAAGGGGGAAUUCAUCACACCUAUCCUUCCCAGCACAACAGAAGAAACAGAGAAGGAUUCCACAGAUGAUCCCUUACUGUCAAUGGAAAAUCAAGGGGAGUUUGAAAUCACAACAGAAAGCACACUACAUGGAAUGAGCAAAGAGAGUGGCCUGACAACUUUAGGUCCAUAUCCAUCCCAGUCACCGGGUGACAGUGAAAAGAAGGGGGAAUUCAUCACACCUAUCCUUCCCAGCACAACAGAAGAAACAGAGAAGGGGAGACCAUCUCAAGUCCGGGUCAGAGUAAGGAAGAGCGUCCCCUGGCCAGAUUACAUGGCAUACAUGCCAGGAACUGCAGGAGGAAGAAAUCGAUACCAUGACGGACAAGAAUCACAGUCGGGAGCAAGAGGUCCCAAGAAAUUACAUAGACAGAACCAAGAAAACAGAGACCCUCAGCCUGACCAUGAAUCCUAUACAGAGAGGGAGGUCGACUAUGAAACAGAAAGAGACUGGGAGACACCAACAGAGAUGGAGGGAGAGAGAGAAGAACCCAUAGCAGCAGAGGAAGAGACACCAUGGGAAAGACAUAGAGAGAGGGAGAUGGUAGAAAAGAAAGGAAAAGAGACGGAAGGAGAGAUAUACCAUGAUGCAGAAAGAGAGGGAGAGGAGGAGAGAAGUGGCGACUCUGAGUGGGACACGGAGGAAGACAGUGAAUACGAGAGGGAGAGAGAGAGGGAAAGGAUGGAGAUGGAGAGAGAGAGGAUGGAGCUUGAAAAAGAGAGGGAAGCAGAGCUGGAGUUGCAGAGGGAGAAAAUAGAGAGGGAGAGACAACUAGAGAGGGAGAACAUGGAAAAGGAGAGAGACCUGCAAAUGGAGACGGAGAGUGAAAUAGAGAGCGAGAGAACAGAGAUGGAGGGAGGCAGAGACCUGGACAGGGAGAGAGAGGAGUGGGAGAGACGGAGGCAGGAGAUGGAAAGAGAGAGUGGAAGACAAGGAGAGUACGAGGAGGAAGGAGGAGUAAGACCCUAUCCAGGGCCAGAAUAUGACUAUUUGAAGGGUGCACCGGGUGAAAAUGGACUUCCAGGACCGAAGGGGGAACUUGGUGAAAAGGGGCACAAGGGUGAGCCAGGUAUUGGCCACAGAGGUCCUGUGGGACAGGCUGGUCCACCUGGAACUAAGGGUGAGCCUGGUGAACAGGGGCCUUCUGGAGCUCAGGGUAUCCAGGGUAUCCGUGGUAACCCCGGUAUUUCAGGUUCUCAGGGCGUGAGAGGCCAACCAGGAGACCCAGGAGAGGCGGGGAG
rnacentral:lncRNA from 1 species